UUCUUCCGCUUUGAAGGAAUUUCUAAAUAUUAUUUUUAAAUACCUACAUAUCAAAAAUCGCGGAACCGACAGGAUUCGAACUUGCGUCUUAUCGGUUCGCACUCGACACUCUGACCG